UGGGGAAUAUUGGACAAUGGGCGCAAGCCUGAUCCAGCCAUGCCGCGUGAACGAUGAAGGCCUUAGGGUUGUAAAGUUCUUUUGUCAGGGAAGAUAAUGACGGUACCUGAAGAAUAAGCACCGGCUAACUUCGUGCCAGCAGCCGCGGUAAUACGAAGGGUGCUAGCGUUGUUCGGAAUCACUGGGCGUAAAGCGCGCGUAGGCGGCGAUAUAAGUCAGAGGUGAAAGCCUGGAGCUCAACUCCAGAACUGCCUUUGAAACUAUAUUGCUAGAGUGUCGGAGGGGAUAGCGGAAUUGCUAAUGUAGAGGUGAAAUUCGUAGAUAUUAGCAGGAACACCGGUGGCGAAGGCGGCUAUCUGGACGACAACUGACGCUGGGGUGCGAAAGCGUGGGUAGCAAACGGGAUUAGAUACCCCUGUAGUCCCUGAGCGGGCUGGCAAGGCGCAU
rnacentral:rRNA from 1 species